rnacentral:rRNA from 1 species
CUACGGGACGCACCAGUAGGGAAUCUUCGGCAAUGGACGGAAGUCUGACCGAGCAACGCCGCGUGAGUGAAGAAGGUUUUCGGAUCGUAAAGCUCUGUUGUAAGAGAAGAACGAGUGUGAGAGUGGAAAGUUCACACUGUGACGGUAUCUUACCAGAAAGGGACGGCUAACUACGUGCCAGCAGCCGCGGUAAUACGUAGGUCCCGAGCGUUGUCCGGAUUUAUUGGGCGUAAAGCGAGCGCAGGCGGUUAGAUAAGUCUGAAGUUAAAGGCUGUGGCUUAACCAUAGUACGCUUUGGAAACUGUUUAACUUGAGUGCAGAAGGGGAGAGUGGAAUUCCAUGUGUAGCGGUGAAAUGCGUAGAUAUAUGGAGGAACACCGGUGGCGAAAGCGGCUCUCUGGUCUGUAACUGACGCUGAGGCUCGAAAGCGUGGGGAGCAAACAGGAUUAGAUACCCUGGUAGUC